AAUAUUAGGUAGAGGAUGUUCCUGUUUUCUUUUUCCCUCCAGUAUCCUUUCACAUGGUCGUACCAGGAGCCCCAUGGCACUGUGGGUAGGGAAGAAGAAACGUAACCCCUAAAGAACUAAUGUAGUAAUCCCUGAUGUUUCUGAAUUUUCUAAAUCUUACAUUUUCCCCUCAUGAACUUGUGGAUGUAUUGGUCCCAGGGACCUGGUUCAGGGUGAAUCUGAUUCAUUCGAUCAAAGUGGUAAUAGCUGACCAGGUUGUCCUUCGCGUUCCGAGCCACAUAAAUCACCUAAAAAACCGUGAUGAAGGUGAAAAUUAAGAAGAACAUCGUGUCUUAUGAUUACAGAAUCCUUUAGGCACUAGCUGUAUGGGCAGGUGUGUCUUGAUGACUCUUGGAGGUUUCAUUGUUUUGAGAAUUGGUGGAGGAGAUUGGAUCUCCAGGAACGGGAUGCGUACAUCAGUAGGUGCUCGCUUACAAACCUCGGCAUCUCCAUCAUGCAGCAGCAGAUCCACAAUCUCCUGAGUCCAGGUGCUUCUGAUGAAAACCUGUUUACCCACCCGAGGUUAAGGAAUGAAGUCAAGACUGCCGUGCCAACAAUGCUGCUCCUGCCAGAUGUGACAGAUAUCAGGCAUGUUUGCACCAAGAAUG